UAAGAUUAUAAAAUCAUCAUACUAAACUUGAAGUCUUCACUACUUCAUUCUUGAAAUCUGUAAAAGAAAUUGGAGAAAUUAAGGACUUAGAAAAGAGGCUGUUUUGUUCCUAUAAUUCUAAGGCUAUCAGGUUAGAUCUUUUUGUGUUUAAUCAAGUGAAAUUGUUUCAAGAGAUUAUAAAGAUGUUUUAAUGUCGAUUUUGUGCAAAUUAAAUGAUGGAAAUUGUAGAAUUUACCUCAGAAAUCUAGUUUGAAAGAGUUCUGUUCAUGUUUCUAAGCCGAAUCUGUUUCAAUUGUUAGCUAUUAAUCUCUCUUCUUGCUUGUAAAUCAUGUUGACUAUAUGAUUAUUCAAAGAUUGUAGCUUAUUAAUGUUUCCAGAUUGUAGUUUUUCUGAAAAUAAGAAGUUUGAAAUUUCCAGUUAGACCAAAAGUAAGCAAAAAUUAGUGAUAGAAAUGUACAUCACCUGCUGAAUUAAUAUACCAAAGUUAGAACGUGUCCAUGUAUUUAGCUGAGUUACAUCAGUAAGUAGUGAUUCAGAUAUACAUCACAGAAAUUUAGUAUUAUAUUAGUACAGUCCUCACAUUGUUCUUGUAUAUCAGUAUAUGUACUCUUUGUAAACAAAGUCUCUAUUUGAACUGAUCAUGGUAUUCUUGGGAAAUCUGUUAUUUACUUGACGUUAGUGUGGUACGGUCAAUGUUCUUGUAUGCUCAUUUACCAUCCUUGCUUUAGGGUUUAUAACAGUACAAUGCUAGCCCUCUUGGUAGGGAGCGCUUUACUAGAUCCGAUUAGUUGAACAGCCAGUGGGUUUCAAAUAUCAGCCGCCUAAAAAAUGAAGGAAAAAAGAGUGCAGUGCUAAUCAAAUAUUGAGCCAUAUUAACCUAGUAAAGCUUAUUCCUUUACUCCAUUUGAUCAAGGCUCAAGUGAGCAUCACCAAUUCUAGGACAGGGGACAAAGUUACGGAUUGACCAAGGAAAAUAACUUGGAACGAGAAGGUUGACUAGCACAUCCAUUUGAUUAUUAAUUUUAUGGGGCGGGAAGGCCAACAAAUAUAACCUCAUGAAAUAGUCGCUCAAUAUGGCUCGGAAACUACAAUAAAAAUAAUAUGUGUAAUCUUGGCACCCCAAAUAACAGUAGAGGAAAAUUCGAGGGCUCUCCCUUAAACUUGAUCCGUCUUAUUCAAUCUAUCAAAUGGUAUAUGUAACUUUACAUCGCUGCUCUCCUUGAGAUAUUACCCCAUGGACGACCUAAAUACGUUGUAACAUUUGCCCCAACUAUGGAGUUGCUUUUAUGGUGCAAUUUGUAGCACCUUUACCUGAAGAGAGAGCCUGAGGAAAGAUCAACUUGAAUGGUGCUAAAAGCUGCACCAUACAAGCAAGUCUAUAGUUGGGGAAAGUGAGUAAGAAUGUUAGCGACAUAUUUAGGUCGACAAGGGGUAAUUCUCUUGGACAAUGGCAAUGUUGAGUUACAUCGACUAUCUGAUAGAUUGAAAAGAAUGUAUUUAGUUUAAUGGAGAGUCCUAAGUAAGUUCCUUGAAUUGUGUUAUAUUUUUCGAUAUUGUUGUUUAGGGCUGCCGAGAUUGCACCUGUUAUUGAGUUGAAGUUUCCCGAGCCAUCUUGUGCUACUAUGGCAGGAGGUGCUUGUGUUUGUUGGCAUUCUCCACAGCAUAAAAUUGUUAACCAAAUGACAGAGUAAUUAAAGACUUCCAGCUCGGGAAAGGAGGGGAACUUCUGCGACCUGAACUAAGGAAGGAAGAAGAAGGAAAAUCAGAGAUCAUUAUUAGUGAUUGCUAAAGGUGAAGCUAUUAUGAUACACUUAUAAAAAAUCAUUUUAGUUUGAAAAGACUACUCUCAUGAAUGGGCUCCAAUGCAAAUGCUGCGCCAACAUACCCCAAUGUGGCAUCACUAUUGCUUCCAAGG